rnacentral:sRNA from 2 species
UAAUAGGCAUUUCCGAAUAUCUUUAAGGUAGUGGGGGACCCAACUUUCUGGGGUGAAUCCUAUCAAUAGGAGGGGCAACUUGGUAGCCCUAACCCGUCAGCUAAUCCCAUAGGAAAAAAACCAAGCGUAU